UACGAAGGGGGCUAGCGUUGCUCGGAAUGACUGGGCGUAAAGGGCGCGUAGGCGGUUUGGACAGUCAGGCGUGAAAUUCCUGGGCUUAACCUGGGGGCUGCGCUUGAUACAUCCAGACUUGAGUGGGGAAGAGGGUCGUGGAAUUCCCAGUGUAGAGGUGAAAUUCGUAGAUAUUGGGAAGAACACCGGUGGCGAAGGCGGCGACCUGGUCCUUUACUGACGCUGAGACGCGAAAGCGUGGGGAGCGAACAGG
rnacentral:rRNA from 1 species